UGACCUCUGACCUCAAAUCAGGUAGGACUACCCSCUGAACUUAAGCAUAUCAAUAAGCGGAGGA
rnacentral:rRNA from 1 species